CCUACGAGCUGCAGCAGUGGGGAAUAUUGGACAAUGGGCGAAAGCCUGAUCCAGCCAUGCCGCGUGUGUGAAGAAGGCCUUCGGGUUGUAAAGCACUUUCAGUGGGGAAGAAAGCCUUGGGGCUAAUACCCUCGAGGAAGGACAUCACCCACAGAAGAAGCACCGGCUAACUCCGUGCCAGCAGCCGCGGUAAUACGGAGGGUGCGAGCGUUAAUCGGAAUUACUGGGCGUAAAGCGCGCGUAGGCGGUCUGAUAAGCCGGUUGUGAAAGCCCCGGGCUCAACCUGGGAACGGCAUCCGGAACUGUCAGGCUAGAGUGCAGGAGAGGAAGGUAGAAUUCCCGGUGUAGCGGUGAAAUGCGUAGAGAUCGGGAGGAAUACCAGUGGCGAAGGCGGCCUUCUGGACUGACACUGACGCUGAGGUGCGAAAGCGUGGGUAGCAAACAGGAUUAGAUACCCCUGUAGUC
rnacentral:rRNA from 1 species